GACGAACGCUGGCGGCGUGCUUAACACAUGCCAGUCGAACGGAAAGGCCCCUUCGGGGGUCCUCGAGUGGCGAACAGGUGAGUAACACGUGAGUAACCUGCCCUUGACUUCGGGAUAACUUCAGGAAACUGGGGCUAAUACCGGAUAGGAAUCCUUGCUGCAUGGUGGGGGUUGGAAAGCUUCGGCGGUUUUGGAUGGACUCGCGGCUUAUCAGCUUGUUGGUGGGGUAGUGGCCUACCAAGGCUUUGACGGGUAGCCGGCCUGAGAGGGCGACCGGCCACAUUGGGACUGAGAGACGGCCCAGACUCCUACGGGAGGCAGCAGUGGGGAAUAUUGCACAAUGGGCGGAAGCCUGAUGCAGCAACGCCGCGUGCGGGAUGACGGCCUUCGGGUUGUAAACCGCUUUCAGCAGGGGCGAAGCUUGUGGUGACGGUACCUGCAGAAGAAGCACCGGCUAACUACGUG
rnacentral:rRNA from 1 species